AGCAAUCUAUACAGUGAAACUGCGAAUGGCUCAUUAAAUCAGUUAUCGUUUAUUUGAUGAUACCUUUCACUUGGAUAACCGUGGUAAUUCUAGAGCUAAUACAUGCACAAAAGUCCCGACUUACGAAGGGAUGUAUUUAUUAGAUAAAAAACCAAUGCUAUUUACGUAGCUCUCUGGUGAUUCAUAGUAACUAAGCGAAUCGCAUAGCCUUGCGCUGGCGGUGGUUCAUUCAAAUUUCUGCCCUAUCAACUCUAUGGUAGGAUAUAGGCCUACCAUGGUUUCAACGGGUAACGGGGAAUUAGGGUUCUAUUCCGGAGAGGGAGCCUGAGAAACGGCUACCACAUCCAAGGAAGGCAGCAGGCGCGCAAAUUACCCAAUCCCGACACGGGGAGGUAGUGACAAUAAAUACUGAUACAGGGUGCUUUUGUGUCUUGUAAUUGGAAUGAGUACAAUUUAAAUCUCUUAACGAGGAACAAUUGGAGGGCAAGUCUGGUGCCAGCAGCCGCGGUAAUUCCAGCUCCAAUAGCGUAUAUUAAAGUUGUUGCAGUUAAAAAGCUCGUAGUUGAACCUUGGGCCUGGCCGGCCGGUCUGCCUCACCGCAUGCACUGGCUCGGCUGGGCCUUUCCUUCUGGCUAACCGCAUGCUCUUCACUGGGUGUGUUGGGGAACCAGGACUUUUACUUUGAAAAAAUUAGAGUGUUCAAAGCAGGCAUUAGCUCGAAUACAUUAGCAUGGAAUAAUAGAAUAGGACGUGUGGUUCUAUUUUGUUGGUUUCUAGGACCACCGUAAUGAUUAAUAGGGAUAGUCGGGGGCAUCAGUAUUCAAUCGUCAGAGGUGAAAUUCUUGGAUCGAUUGAAGACUAACUACUGCGAAAGCAUUUGCCAAGGAUGUUUUCAUUAAUCAGGAACGAAAGUUAGGGGAUCGA
rnacentral:rRNA from 1 species